UGCAUGAAGUUGGAAUUGCUAGUAAUCGCGGAUCAGCAUGCCGCGGUGAAUACGUUCCCGGGGAUUGUACACACCGCCCGUCACACCAUGAGAGUCGGGAACACCCAAAGUCCGUAGUCUAACCGCAAGGAGGACGCGGCCUAAGGUGGGUUCGAUAAUUGGGGUGAAGUCGUAACAAGGUAGC
rnacentral:rRNA from 1 species